AUUCACAUUCAACUUGUAGUGUAAAUCAACUUGGAGUCAUCACGUGUUUUGGCCGUUAUCAAAGUGCAUUAUGGGGAUUUCGCGGGAGUCGUUACUUUACUUUCGUCCUGCACCCUUUCGCACGAGGCUGUGGUGUCAUCGUCGACUCGGACUGUUUUCAAGGUUGCUGGUUCCAAAAUAAUCUGGAAGUUUGUAUGCAGAGUUCCAGAGGAUAACCAAUCAGAACCUGCCCAACCGAUUCUAUGCUGAGCUUGACCGCCAUCUUCCACGACUAAUGACUUUAUUUAGGCAGAAGGCAUCAAGAACUGGAAAGACAG